UUACGGCCAUAUCACGUUGAACCACCGGUUCUCGUAUGAUUACCGAAGUUAAGCAAUGUCGAGCCUGGUCAGUAACUAGAUGAAUGACCGCGCGUGAAAUUCGGUUC